AACCCAUGGUGAGGGCGCCAUCUCAAUAGAUCUUUGUAUCUCUUUCAUGCAUCAUAUAAAGUCUCUAAAUCAAUCUGAACAAAGGAAGAGAUAUCAUUCCUCAACUU
rfam:Gossypium raimondii Chr07_contig_766, whole genome shotgun sequence.